GCUAGCGUAGCUUAAUCAAAGCAAAACACUGAAGAUGUUUAGAUGGGCGUUGAAAAGCCCCGCGAGCA
rnacentral:tRNA from 1 species